rnacentral:rRNA from 1 species
AGUUAUAAAUGAAGCGGUCUGGAAAGGCCCGCCAAAGACGGUAACAGCCCGGUAGUUGAAAUGGCUUUCCCUCCAGAGUGGAUCCUGAGUACGGCGGAACACGUGAAAUUCCGUCGGAAUCCGGGAGGACCAUCUCCCAAGGCUAAAUACUCCCUAGUGACCGAUAGUGAACCAGUACCGUGAGGGAAAGGUGAAAAGCACCCCGGAAGGGGAGUGAAACAGUUCCUGAAACCGUGUGCCUACAAGUAGUUAGAGCCCGUUAAUGGGUGAUAGCGUGCCUUUUGUAGAAUGAACCGGCGAGUUACGAUUUGUUGCAAGGUUAAGCGGAAAAAGCGGAGCCGUAGCGAAAGCGAGUCUGAAUAGGGCGCAUAAGUAACAGGUCGUAGACCCGAAACCAGGUGAUCUACCCAUGUCCAGGAUGAAGGUAAGGUAAUACUUACUGGAGGUCCGAACCCACGCACGUUGAAAAGUGCGGGGAUGAGGUGUGGGUAGCGGAGAAAUUCCAAUCGAACUUGGAGAUAGCUGGUUCUCUCCGAAAUAGCUUUAGGGCUAGCCUCGAGGUAAAGAGUCAUGGAGGUAGAGCACUGUUUGGACUAGGGGCCCUUCUCGGGUUACCGAAUUCAGAUAAACUCCGAAUGCCAUGUACUUAUACUCGGGAGUCAGACUGCGAGUGAUAAGAUCCGUAGUCGAAAGGGAAACAGCCCAGACCACCAGUUAAGGUCCCCAAAUAUAUGUUAAGUGGAAAAGGAUGUGGGGUUGCUUAGACAACCAGGAUGUUGGCUUAGAAGCAGCCACCAUUGAAAGAGUGCGUAAUAGCUCACUGGUCGAGUGACCCCGCGCCGAAAAUGUACCGGGGCUAAACAUAUUACCGAAACUGUGGAUGAACCUCUUUAGAGGUUCGUGGUAGGAGAGCGUUCUAAGGGCGGUGAAGUCAGACCGGAAGGACUGGUGGAGCGCUUAGAAGUGAGAAUGCCGGUAUGAGUAGCGAAAGAAGGGUGAGAAUCCCUUCCACCGAAUAUCUAAGGUUUCCUGAGGAAGGCUCGUCCGCUCAGGGUUAGUCGGGACCUAAGCCGAGGCCGAUAGGCGUAGGCGAUGGACAACAGGUAGAGAUUCCUGUACCAGUGCUAAUUGUUUAACCGAUGGGGUGACACAGAAGGAUAGGGAAUCGCACGAAUGGAAAUGUGCGUCCAAGCAGUGAGUGUGAGAAGUAGGCAAAUCCGCUUCUCGCGAAGCAUGAGCUGUGAUGGGGAAGGAAAUUAAGUACGGAAGUUCCUGAUUUCACGCUGUCAAGAAAAGCCUCUAGGAAGAGUAGUACUGCCCGUACCGCAAACCGACACAGGUAGAUGAGGAGAGAAUCCUAAGGUGAGCGAGAGAACUCUCGUUAAGGAACUCGGCAAAAUGACCCCGUAACUUCGGGAGAAGGGGUGCUCUAUUAGGGUGCAAGCCCGAGAGAGCCGCAGUGAAUAGGCCCAGGCGACUGUUUAGCAAAAACACAGGUCUCUGCAAAACCGUAAGGUGACGUAUAGGGGCUGACGCCUGCCCGGUGCUGGAAGGUUAAGAGGAGUGCUUAGCUUCGGCGAAGGUACGAAUUGAAGCCCCAGUAAACGGCGGCCGUAACUAUAACGGUCCUAAGGUAGCGAAAUUCCUUGUCGGGUAAGUUCCGACCCGCACGAAAGGCGCAACGAUCUGGGCACUGUCUCAACGAGAGACUCGGUGAAAUUAUAGUACCUGUGAAGAUGCAGGUUACCCGCGACAGGACGGAAAGACCCCGUGGAGCUUUACUGCAACCUGAUAUGGAAUGUUUGUACCGCUUGUACAGGAUAGGUAGGAGCCGAAGAGACGUGUGCGCUAGCAUACGAGGAGGCAAUGGUGGGAUACUACCCUGGCUGUAUGACCAUUCUAACCCGCCACGCUUAGCGCGUGGGGAGACAGUGUCAGGUGGGCAGUUUGACUGGGGCGGUCGCCUCCUAAAGAGUAACGGAGGCGCCCAAAGGUUCCCUC